UUUUGGCAUUUUGGUAAAAGUGGUUACUGCAAAUGAUUCUUGCAUUUACUACUAAAAUGACUUUUGAAAGCCCAUUUUAAAAUACUGUCUUUUCCUAGCAGGCAUAAAUUGGGGUCAGCUAGCAGUAGGUUAUUGGUUCCUUCAGUCUGAUUUCAGUGGCUGAGAAUUUUGAGUCCAUUUUUGAAGGAAUCUGAAUUCUUCCAGGGCACAGUCAUUUUUUCCUGGCCAGUCUCUUUCCCACGCCAUUAGACUUGUGAUUUGAUUUAUUUAAUGGCAGACAGUUACUGUGUUCACUUAAAAAUCAAAGCAAAAUAGUCAUCAUAUUUUUCCAUGAGUUAUAUUUAAAUUCUGGCUACCCUCUGUCCUAUUUCUUCAGCUCAUGGGAUUAUUUUUAAAAUAGCAGUGUUUUAAGGUAUGACCACACAAUCCACCCACUUAAAGUGUACAAUUCAGUGAUUUUUAGUAUACUUUUAGUAUACUUAGUUUUAGAACAUUUCAUCACCCCAGAAAGAAACCCUUUAUUUAUUAGCAGUCGCUACCUAAUUCCCCUUAUCUUAUCCCUUUGCAACCACUGAACUAUUUUCUUUCCCUAUAGAUUUGCCUGGUCUGGGCAUUUCAUAUUAAAUGGAAUCAUAUAGUAUAUGGUCUUUGUGACUGACUUCUUUCACUUAAUUUAAUGUUUCCAAGACUCAUCUAUGUUAUAGAAUGUUAUCAGUAUUUCAUUUAUAUUUAUUGCCAGGUAAUAUUCCAUUUUCUGGAUAUACCACAUUCUAUUUAUCCAUUUGGGAUGUUUCCACUGUUUGGCAAUUGUGAUUAAUGCCGCUAUAAACAUCGUGUAUUAGUUUUUAUGCAGAUAUAUCUUUAUUAUUCUAGGGGUAGAAUUGCAGGGUUAUAUGGAAAUUCUAUGCUGAACAUUUUGAGAAACUGCCAGAAUAUUUUCAAAAACAGCUACACCAUUUUAUGUUUCCAUAGUGUAUGAGGGCUCCAAUGUCUGUAUCACUGCCAGUAAUUACUAUCCUCUCUGUUUUUUAUUAUAACCAUCUUAAUAGGUGUGAAAUGACAUCUCAUUGUGGGUUUGGUUUGAAUUUACCUAAUGACUAAUGAAUGAUGUUGAGUAUUUUUGUUUGUUUGUUGGCCAUUCCGUGUAUUAUCUCUGGAUAAAUAGAUAUUCAGAUUUCUUGGCCAUUUUUUAAUUAGGUUGUCUUUUUAUUGUUGAGUUGUGGGAGUUCUCUUAUGUAUUCUAGAUACAAGUGUCCUAUCAGAUUUAUGAUUUGCAAGUAUUUUCUCCUAUUCAGGCUGUUUUCUUUUCUACUUUCUUCAUACUACCUUUUUUUUUUUUUUCAUACUACCUUUUGAAACACAAGUUUUUCAUUUUGAUAAAGUCUAGUUGAUCUGUUUUUUCUUUUGUCACUUCUGCUUUGGUGCCAGGGCUACAAAAUCACUGCCUAAUCCAAGACCAUGAAGACUUAACACCUCUCUUCUUCUGAGGAUUUUGUAAUUUUAGCCCUUACACUUAGGUCUUUGAUUCAUUUUGAGUUACUUUUCAUACAUGAUGUGAGGUAGGGGUCCAACUUCGUUCUUUUGCACAGGAAUAUUCACUUGUUCCAGGGGCCGUUUGUUGAAAAGACUGUUCUUUCCCCACUGAAUUGUCUUGGCUCCCAGACUGCUUCUUUUUACGGCUGAUUUUAAUUCUGUGUAGAAGCAGCAAAAUACACAGACAAACAAUACCAUUACAUUUUAUUAUUUCAACUCAUUAAACACAGGCAGUAGAGAAUGGUAAGUACAUACACAUUUGGGAAUUCAAACAUUUUUGUACUUUGAGCAUAACAUGGUACUUUAAUAUCCUCUUUUUAAACAUAGUAUGUGGGGGUUUUUAGAUCUAAGAACAUUUGAUAACUGUAACUACCAGUAUUUUAUAUGAUUUAUGGUUUAUAUUUAUACUGUUACUGAAUCUUCACAAAUACUCUUCAAAGUAGAUCAUAUAGUCUUGUUGUUGUUAUUGUUGUUGCCGUCCCCAUUUGUAGAGUUAAAAACUAAGAUUCAAGAGGUGAUGUGGCUGGACUAAGCCACUAACAACAAUAGGCAAACAUGGCUUUAAGCUCAAGUCUUUGGACUGCCAAGCCAGUGCCUUCUCCCAUACCACGUAACUUCAGUUCAUUGCCAGAUAGAUUUGAGACCCCUAAAGGGUUGCCACCUAAGUGGGUUGGGCCUUUAUGUCCCCUCUUCCCAUUAAACCAGUCAUCAGGUACAGGCCCACUCGAGGAACAUGACCUUAGGUGAGGCAGGUCCCUUUGACCAAGGAGUGCAAAUCCCGGAGAAGGACUUCACUGUGAGUGAGUAGUCAGCAGCCAGCACUCUCCAUGAUAAGGGAGUGCUGUCUUGAGCCCAUGGUGAGGGCAUUUAGGCAGCACACCACAGUACCCACCACAUCCUGCAAGGUAUACCGUAGAUCUCGCCAUUUACUACACGUCAAAAUCACCAUUUGACUUUUACAAAAAUCUAGGGAGCUGGACUCCAUCCAGACUUGCUGGGUCAGAAUUUCCUGGAGUGGGGCCCAGGCACUUGUAUUUCAUAAUGGUCCACAGGUAACUCCAGGGCAAAGUCAAGACGGCUCAGUACUCACCUAGAACAGCACGUAUAGCCAGCAUAAACAUUGAUGAUCUGUGCUUUUACAGGUGACUUCUAUCUUUUGCCUUCUCAUAUACUUUUUUUUUUUUUUUUAAGAAAGUUACUGUGGCAUCUGUUUCUGAGAUAACUUAAAAUCGGCUUGUUUACAGUUAAACGUAACCGCAUACACCAAGAUUUCUUGCAUCAUGCCAGUCUCUCAAUUCUGUGGGUCAAUUUAUGUCUAAUUUACAAAAUUAAAUUAUUCUGUUAACUCUUGCAUUUCAUUGAUGCAGGAGUAUCCGCUUUAUCUAUAAAGCGCAUUUGACAAAAGAGAAAAAUAUUUUUUUUCAUGAAAUUGAUAUAAGUCGCAGAAAUCCAUUAAGUUGACAAAUGAGCUCACUGGGCCGAGCAGUGAGUGGUGAAUAUUGUAACAGUGAUCAGUUAAUAAGGAGACUGGGCUGAAUCUCAGCUUCACUCAUCUGAGUUAUUAGUUCCCUACAGUACAUGUGUUAAUAAGUACCUACAAGAUUUGUUUUCAAAGGCUUUGGGAGCCCGAAAGAACAUUUUUCUUUACCGUAUUAAUUUGUCUUUACAAAUCUGGACUUCUUCUAAAAUCACAGUAUUUCAGGACUGUAAAGAACUUGCAGUUAUUUUCUGAUUGACUAUUUCCCAGUGAUCCUAUGAGCUGCUUCUGAAAGGAAUGGGGAUCUGUAGUGAGAGAGCAUUGUAGGGUAGCAUCUGCUGCAGAUUGUAUCUCACACUUGGAAGUUCACAGAGCACGUUAAAGAUGCAAUUUCAAGCCUACUCUGUAGAAAACGAGCAGUGAGUCCGUUGAAUUGCAUAUUAACUGUGUGUUAUUUAGCUCUGAUGUCUCAGUGGUCUCCCUUUCUUUGACAGUCACAUUUUAAAGGGUAUGGAUGUUGCACAUAAAAUUUUUCGUGGCUAUUCAUAUGUAUCCUGGAAAUAUAUUUUACAUUUCCCCCCUUCUCUGUAUCUCCACAUUAUUGUUCAUCUCCUGUGUUCAUUGUAGCUAUAGAAUAUAUUUUCAUUUAAUAAUUUCAAGUCUGUAACCUUGUAUUCUUAGGAAAGGGAGGGGUGGGAUUAAAAGGCUCAUCUUGCAGCCUGCCUGCAAUGGGGCUCCCUGCUUUCACUGAGGGCCAUGGUGUACCAUGCCCAAGUUCACCCCCUUUCUUCCUUCAUUGACUUCUCUGUGCUCCACUCUUCUGAGACUCCGAACUACCCUGCCAAGGUCACAUGCCUAGCAACAAGUAUAAUUUUGGCUGUUGGAAAAAGAAUAGAAUAAAGCACAAAGCAGAUGGAGGGAAAUGACAGUCAGCAUUCAGCCAGGCCUGACCAAGGAACACAGGCUCUCUUCCAGGUCCCUCCCACCCUGGAAAGAUCAGAGUCUUUGAAUUGCCAACUCCCUCAACUGAGCUGAGACUUUAUUUUUCUGCCAGUGCUGGACUCCAGGGAACACCAAUUCCCUGUUGUGAGUUCUCUGCUUUCCUCACUUCCUCCUGGUUCCUUCUCAACAGCCAUAAUUCUUUGCAGAAAUAGGUUUUUACAAAGCUUUCACGCUCUGAUCCAUGACCUAGAGCCUCAGAACAUUGCUCAUUCCAUGGUGAACUGAGAGUAGCUAUGGGAAUCUCUGCAGAAAUCAAAAGAUCUGCUCUAAUUAGUAAAACUGUCUUGGCUCCCAACCCGCUGGAAGCCCGUCUUUAACAACUCAAAUCUGACUGGAGGUCAGGGAGAAGAAAUCAUUAUCCGUUGUCUAAAGUCAACGGGUUUAUGCCAUAUUUGAAGAAGCCAAGAGAAAGAGCUGGAACUGACUGAUCCAGGUAGAAAUUUUACGUGCCCUGAAUGAAUUGUUUCUGAGGAUGAAACCGUUUUGCUUACGGAAACUUGACAUGCAUAAUCCUGCUGCCUUGACAAACAGGAAGCGAGGGAGUGCAUUUUGCACAGUUAUCAACAGAGUUGAUACAUACAGUGAAGACAGGCAAUGGAUUUAACGCCUCAGCAUUUUCAUAUUAAACUGCAGUGAGAGAUACAAUUUUACACUACAUUGAAAAAUACCCAAUUUUGAAAACUGUUCAAAUUCUUCAUGCUUCCUCUAACUGUAGAGUAGUGCCAGAUAGUGCUUACAGUUUGCCCAUGAGUGAGUGGUAUGGAAAAUGUUCCUCUGGGGAAUCUGAAAUUAUUUGGGGACCAGAUGUCUUGGGACUUGGCUUCUUUUCAACUCUGUUGUCUCCAGGUAUGUGACCUUUUGAGCAUGUCCGUUUACCUUUCGGACGCUCUGUUCUUUUCACUAACAAAGAAAACAAUACCUGUUCUGCCCAGCUUUGAAAACCAUAGCACAUCAAUUUGUGGAAGAAACUCUUACAUUAUUUCCAGGAAAUUCAUCUUCUGGAAAUAUGCUAGCUCACCGUACAGUUGAACAAGGAUCUAGAAGCACUAUAUUCAAAUCAGCUGUUUCAGAAAUACUAUUUAUGGUAGAAACAGAAAUGUUUUAAUUAAAGAGAUGUUUAAAGUGACUUAUUUUAAAUUGUUAGAUAGCAACUGCUGGACAGGUAAGCUUUACUUUGGUUUUCUACCUCUGGUGCUUCAUUAUUGACGCAAUAAACUUCCUCCCCCAGAUAUAAAAUAAGGCACUCAGUAGCAUAACAUGAAUUCAGCUCUGCUUUGUUUUAAUUUUAGGUACUAUUUCUUUAUUACUCUUUGAAGGCGUGCAGGCUUUCUCAUUGAAAUCAGUGGUUGUACAUUGAAUUAACGAUGUUACCCAGUAAUUCUUGAGUCUCUCUACAUCGGAGGUACUUUACAUGCAUUGCUUCAUUUAAUUCACACACCUACCUUAUGAAGUGGAUGUGUAAGCUUUCCCAUUCUACAGAUGAGGCAGUGGAGCCCAGUGAAGUGAGGUAACCCGCGUGAAUCCAUCACACAGCUGUCGAUGAGUGGAACAGAGACUGAGACUGUGUCUCUAGGAACUUUACCUUGUACUCUCCACCACUCAGCUACAAAGCUUCCCUCAUUUCAAGGGAAGUAGAAAUGUUCGAGUACUAAGCCUCCCAGAAAUCUAUGAGAGAAACUUUAUUUUAAAAAUAAAGAAAUCAGAUGAACGUUUAAUUUUUUUUUUUUUUACGUAAUUGCAUGAUAGAUGAAAAGUUAUUUGGCUUAAAGAAAAGUCUGCCUCCUACAAUUACCAUGUCCUAGAAUUUGUGUACCAUGCUGGGUAUGUUUCAGAAGCACUGUCUUAAAGAAAUUUAAACUGUGGUUCUAAUAAAAAGAACACAAACCAUGUAGAAUAAGUAUGCCGAUGGCUGGUUUCACAUUUUUUUUUUCUUGUAGGCUAACCUCCAAGCUUUGUAAAAUACCUGGAGGAGAGGUUACACUGGGGCAGAGAUGACAGUAAAUCAUGGCAGGAGAACAUUUGAUUUAGAUUAUUUAACUGCUUUUAUUUGAUUCCAAGAAUUAUAUAAAUGGCAAUCUCAGAAGAUAGAGAGAUGUAAAGAUUAGCACAGGGCAGAGGCCAGCAAUCAUUUUGUAGGAUCUUAUUUGGGGGCAACUGAAGGACCUGCCUGACAAAGCUUAUCAAGUUGAGAGUGAAGUCUUAGUCAGACGUGCUGGGCUAACCUUCAACGUCCUUACAGUUAAAAGCUUUUGUUUCCAAAAGAUAAGCAAUGAAAAUAAUGAUAUGUGUGUGUGUGCACAAUAUGUAUUAUGCCAUAAUCUGUAAAGUUGAACACGUAAUAUGCAAAGUCACUGCUAAAUAGGGCCAGCAUUUCUAGUGGACCAGCAGCGAUUUUAGCCAGCUGCCUCAUUUACAGAUAAGAAAACUAAAGCCUGGAAAGGGCUACUGCGCUUUAUAAGAUUUGCCAAACACACAAUAAAAUGGUUUAUGUCCCAAACCACAGAGAAGGCUAUGGAUCCAGUUGUCACAUAACCAAUGCCACUACAGUAUAAUGUUCUCUCCACAAAAAUACUACGCCCCGAGCACAGUCCUUAGUUCUGGCAGCAUUCACUGCUGCAAAAUCUACAAUGAUAGGAUUUAUACCAGCUGUUGAAGUUUAUAGCAAUGAAAUAUGAUCUAUAAAUUCCAAAUUCUCAAAAAGCAAAGCAUCUCAUCACUGGAGAAGCAUGACGAGCUCCUUAGGGGCCUUCUUACAGAUCCUGAUACCCCGCUCCAGGCAACCCUACUUCUGCCGAUGGCCCUCUGUGGUGAGGAGGGAAGUGGGGAUGAAGGAGGGAGGGGGUUUUUCCUGAGAAGAACAAGGAGGGAAAUGUAGAGGAGCGCCAUGACCAUAUACAUGGUGAAUUAGCACUCUGAUUUUAAAGGUGCAGGCAACAUUACAGCAAUCACAAAAAUGGAAAAUAUUAAAGGUCUCACACUCUCACCACCCUAAAAAUUCACUUUUUACCUAUUUCCUUUUUGUCCAUAUUAACAUACAUAUAUUUUCUGUUGAGUUGUGAUUUAUUUCCUUUUUCUGUAGCUCACCUGGAUUUUGGUUUCAAAUCCCAUUUCCACACGAUAGAACUAAAUUUAGUUUAGUCACAUCCUGAUAAAUGUGGACAAAUUCAGUGAUUCCUUGCUACUUCUGCUCCAUACACCAUCAGUCAGGUGUUUCCUGGCCUCUCCUCCCCUCUCUGCCCCGACACACCCCACCCUUGGUAUGGAUGGUAAGGGGUCCUAGAUCUUUGGGAAGAGGCUUCCAGCCCUCAGUGUCGAUGUGCCUUGGGCCCAUUCUGGAGCCUGCUGACCGUGACAUAGGGGCCUCCACCUUCUCCUUUCAGAUCUGCCUUUCCUCUGCUCCUCUGUUGCUGCCACAUCAUGUGGGCUGGUGGACCUUUCUCUGGGGUUCUCUGAGAAGCAAGAUUAUAUUUCACACUCAGAUCCUCAUGGCUCCCCUAUCCUGCUGACAGGUGAUGAGGUCUAUCCAGUUCUCCCUGGAAUUCUGCUUAAGGGUGAAGGGCAGGAUACCAUCACCCUUAUUUCUGUAUACUCUUGGCUGAGCUCAAAGGAUCUCUACCUGGUCAAUAGAAGUCGAUAUCUUGUGUCCUGUUUCCUUUGUGAGAGUGCCAUCCUGGGGGCAGUACCUGCUUCAUAUCUGUAGUCACAGGGUGGGGGAAAGGUAAUGCAUUUAAGGGACAAGUUAUUUCCUAUUUCAUGAUAUCAGCCUGCACACCUAUAAUUGUCUUGUAAUCGUAACUUUGCAUUCGGGCCAUUUUAACACAGUACUGAAGUAUUUUGCUAUUAAGUCAUGAUGGUGGUCAUUUUUAGUGGUUGCAAAAUGUUCACUCUUUGAGUGGCUAUAACAUAAUUUAGUUAACCACCCCCCCAUUAUUGGACAUUGAUUUCCAAUUUUCAGAUAUACAUAGCACUGCUGUAAGAGUUUGUGAGUUUUGAAAGAAAACUUAUUUUAACCAAAAGCCCAAGAAUACAAUUUUAUAAAAUUAUUCUGAACUGAAGUGGAUGAAAUGAUUGCUUCAUACAUGAUGGCUGGGAGCCCACUAGCUCUUACCUUGUUUUUAAGAUCAUAAGUAAUUCUGCCCAUUAGGGGCUCAGGUUCUUGCCCUAACCUGAUGCCUAUCCUUUGCACCACCCCAACUUUAUGAGGAUGCAGUGUUUCCCUGGCAGCUGAGAACUAUUGCCUUCUGGGGAUUGGAUCCAGGAAGGAGAGUGGACAUAAUAUCGAGUAGAAUUUUCUCUUCAUUGGCUUAAACUUAGCCACGAUUUUAUGGUUUGAAAUUCAAGAGCCCCUUUUUUCUACAACAGUGAAAAUCUAAGUCAUUUCUCCUAACUUGCUGAACAUAGUUUAAACGUUUCAUCAUUCAGGAAAUUGAAGAACUACUGCAUUGGAAAAAGGCAAAGACCCAGAUAGGGAGCUAAGAGAGUCCUAAGAACAAGAAAAUGUGUACCUUCUGAUUCUCACAAACUAAAUUGGCAAGAAUAUUUUAUCUGAAGAUAAAGAGUUUUAUAGGACAUUUCUCAGUAUCCUACUGAAAUCUCUAAUUGAUAUGGGUAUGAUAUGAGAUCUCCAUUUUGAGGUCUUCUC